rnacentral:rRNA from 1 species
UACGUAGGGUGCAAGCGUUGUCCGGAAUUAUUGGGCGUAAAGAGCUUGUAGGCGGUUUGUCGCGUCUGCUGUGAAAUUUCGGGGCUCAACCCCGAACUUGCAGUGGGUACGGGCAGACUAGAGUGUGGUAGGGGAGACUGGAAUUCCUGGUGUAGCGGUGAAAUGCGCAGAUAUCGGGAGGAACACCGGUGGCGAAGGCGGUUCUCUGGGCCUUACCUGACGCUGAGGAGCGAAAGCGCGGGGAGCGAACAGG